GCGUGCUUAACACAUGCAAGUCGAGCGAAGCAUUUUGGACGAAGUUUUCGGAUGGAUUCUGGAAUGACUGAGCGGCGGACGGGUGAGUAACGCGUGGAUAACCUGCCUCAUACAGGGGGAUAACAGUUAGAAAUGACUGCUAAUACCGCAUAAGCGCACGGGGCCGCAUGGUCUGGUGUGAAAAACUCCGGUGGUAUGAGAUGGGUCCGCGUUGGAUUAGGCAGUUGGCGGGGUAACGGCCCACCAAACCGACGAUCCAUAGCCGGCCUGAGAGGGUGGACGGCCACAUUGGGACUGAGACACGGCCCAAACUCCUACGGGAGGCAGCAGUGGGGAAUAUUGCACAAUGGGGGAAACCCUGAUGCAGCGACGCCGCGUGAGUGAAGAAGUAUUUCGGUAUGUAAAGCUCUAUCAGCAGGGAAGAAAAUGACGGUACCUGACUAAGAAGCCCCGGCUAACUACGUGCCAGCAGCCGCGGUAAUACGUAGGGGGCAAGCGUUAUCCGGAUUUACUGGGUGUAAAGGGAGCGUAGACGGCUGUGCAAGUCUGAUGUGAAAGGCAGGGGCUCAACUCCUGGACUGCAUUGGAAACUGUGUAGCUUGAGUGCCGGAGAGGUAAGCGGAAUUCCUAGUGUAGCGGUGAAAUGCGUAGAUAUUAGGAGGAACACCAGUGGCGAAGGCGGCUUACUGGACGGUAACUGACGUUGAGGCUCGAAAGCGUGGGGAGCAAACAGGAUUAGAUACCCUGGUAGUCCACGCCGUAAAC
rnacentral:rRNA from 1 species